rnacentral:rRNA from 1 species
GAGGCCAACCGGCCAAGGGCACGUCUGCCUGGGCGUCAAGC